rnacentral:rRNA from 1 species
UUAGUUGCCGGAAGCCCNANAAUUNGGAGAGAANUCAGNCCGUACUUCGCGGUUCACUUGCCAUGGACCGUCUCUUUCGUGGCGAUUGAUAGCACGUCGUUCGGCGCCAUUAUGCAUCCCACGCUCGCCACAGGCCUUAAUAACCCCGCAUUUUCUCGAGCAUCCGCCGGACAGCGCAGCCUACACUUUCGGGCCCGGAUUGGGGGCCCAGGACGUAAAGCUAUGCCGGUCCGAUCUCAAGCCAUCCCCUCUAGCCUUAAAGGACCACAUCGCCACUUUACGCGUCUAUAGUCCUCCUUGUGGCCACCGCUUCCGCCUAGAGACCCGGCUAUGACUGCGACUCCUCGCUUUCGCACCCCUCGCUUGUCCUAAUCUAUGGGGACCAUCAGGUGCGGCAUUUGCAACCCGUGAUCCACACCCGCCGUAAAGUGCAGCAGGCACGGCGUCGAUUGCGUAAUUCACGGGGCGGACCCCUCAUGCCGGCGUUCCGAUUUUGAGUUUCCUUAACUGCCCCCGGGCGUGUUCGCCGCCUCGUACACCGAAUUAAGCUGCGUUGCGCUUCUUGGAAUGGUUCCGAACUGUAUGUGGCCUUUGUGCACCUCUGCGCACGGGGGAACACCAGCCACAUGUCCACCACGUACCGACAGCAGUCGAGCACAGCACUCUACAACCCAAUUCAGGGCGUUGCUCGCGUUGGGAACAAGACACAACGGUCGCACGGAAAGCCCCACUGCCCCUGAGUGUCCUCUGACGGCCCCAGUUGAACCUCCUUCCACCCCUGCUGCAGUUCAGUAGUACGGGGAAUACAGAACCCGACGUGUGCACGAUGUUACCGGCCAUGUUACUCGACGCUACGGCGCUCCACCUCGCUUAGAGUUUUUCGGCCAGAGUCAAGCCUAACCCCAGACGUUGAGCUGGGGUACUUCAGCCUCAGCGAUCAUUAGCGUCUAGUCGUGACGACGCCACUUAUGCAAGGGCCCGGAACAUGUGUGGCGGGCAGAGCAGUACUUUAAAAAAUGGACGGUGCCCUGGGG